rnacentral:lncRNA from 1 species
CCUCUCUGAGAGGUCCUCUCCAGCGUCAGAAGCUCCCGAGGCCCCCGAAGCCAUGUGGAGGUUUAUGUUCAGAAACAAAAGGAGGCCAGUCUUGGGCAAAGGAGACACAACCUCCUCAGCUGAGACGCAGCCAGCCUCCUCAUCGUCCGCAGAGCUGUGAGAAGAGAUUUCACUGUUGAUGGCUCCUUUGCUCUUGGCUACCGAAAUGAAUGUCGGGCUCCAGUUACAGUAACACAAGCCACACCUCUAAUCCCAGAGCACUGAGAGGAGAGGACGAUUCCUGUAUAUUUGAUGCCGUCCUGAUCUACACAGCAAAUAUCAGGCCCUCCAAGUCUAUGUAGUAGGUUCCUAUCUGGGGCGGGGGAAGGUAUGCCGAGAGAAUAAAAUUAGGUGUGUUUGUUAGGCGCAAAGAGUGGAUUUAGGGGCCAUGGCAUGGAAGGUUACUGCUGGUGAGUCCUUUCUGGAGAAAUCAAUGACUUCUUCUGAGGGGUCACCCACAGGACAGUGGCUAGAAUUGGAGACUGUCCAGGAACUCACUGUUUCCAUCGGGCUGCUGUCUCCAGAUCACACCCCAGGCAAGCAUCCUCUGUUCCCAUUAGUGCCCAAACAGGCCUGGCUGUGCUUUCAGUGACUUGAGUGUAACCACUAGGAGUGGUGAAAACACACCCCGGCCCCAGAGUGGAGUUCUGUGGCAGAGUCGGGCACUGCAUGGCUCUCGGACUGAGUGGGGACCUGACUGGAGGUCAGUCCUUACUCAGAACAGGCUGGACAGUGUGGGGAUUAACAAGGCAGGGAGACUUUAAAGGGCUGAUUCUGGCCUUCCCUCUGCUGGUCCUUCUAUGUUCUUUCCCUCUUCCUAACUCUUGCUCUAUAAUAAGACUUCAAAGGCUUAUUUUAAAGGACUGUACUACUACAGUGCCCUGGGCUGAAUUCGUAGUAAAGAUUUAGCUGUUGUGGCAUAUGUGUGUGCCCAGAACUUGG